AACGUAGGUGGCAAGCGUUAUCCGGAUUUACUGGGCGUAAAGCGUGUGCAGGCGGGGGUACAAGUGGUGUAUGAAAUUUCCCAGCUUAACUGGGAAGGGUUAUGCCAGACUGUACUUCUGGAGUGCGAGAGAGGGGCGUGGAAUUCCGGGUGUAGUGGUGAAAUGCGUAGAUAUCAUUUGGAACGCCAAUGGUGAAAACAGGUAGCUGGGGCUGUGCUGACGCUGAGACACGAAAGCCAGGGGAGCAAACGGG
rnacentral:rRNA from 1 species